rnacentral:rRNA from 1 species
GAUGAACGCUGGCGGCGUGCCUAAUACAUGCAAGUCGAGCGGACAGACGAUGAGCUUGCUCCUCUGACGUUAGCGGCGGGCGGGUGAGUAACACGUGGAUAACCUCCUUAUCUUUCUGGGAUAAUUACGGGAAACCGGAGAUAAUACGGGAUAAUAUAUUGCACCGCAGGGUUCAAUAGUGAAUGACGGUUUUGCUGUCACUUAUAGCUGGAUCCGCGCCGGAUUAGCUAGUUGGUAAGGUAACGGCUUACCAAGGCUACGAUGCGUAUCCGACCUGAGAGGGUGAUCGGCCGCACGAGAACUGAGACACGGUCCAGACUCCUAAGGGAGGCAGCAGUAGGGAAUCUGCCGCAAAGGGCGAAAGCCUGACGCAGCAACGCCGCGUGAGUGAUGAAGGCCUUCGGAUCGUAAAACUCUGUUAUGAGGGAAGAACAGAUGUCGCAGUAAACAUGGACGUCUUGACGGUACCUAAUCAAAAAGCAACGGCUAACUACGUG